AGCCUCGUUCUAGAAGGAAAUGGGCACUAUCAUUCAUCGUGUCCAGAAAUCGUUAAUGUGGCUACACUGAGACACAGGAUAUGCUGCCAGCACGGCAAGUUUAUUUCAGUGGUGACAAUCAGACUCAUAACAUUU
ensembl:snoRNA